rnacentral:ncRNA from 1 species
AAUACCCAUGCGGGAGAGACCCUGUGCACAGGGCGCCGAAGGGGCAAAUCCUCCCCGGAACCUCUCAGGCAAAAGGACCGCGGUGGCUAG